GCACACUAACUUGGACUUAACAAGGUAGGUAAAGGGUGACUUAAUAUUUAUCAUAGUAUCGAUGGAGCGUGUGUGGUUAACCGGCACAUCGAUUGAGGGGUAAUUUAUUAAGGGUACCAAGUGAUUUGCAUGGUUACUUCACACCUUGUUUUGUGAUCCUCGGCAUCCCAGUCACAAAACCUGAAGGGCACACUCGAGAUUGAAACAUGCCUUUGAACAGUUCAAUGAAUCUCAAAGAUCUAGGAGUUUCAAAACCAAUUAAAACCUAAUAAUACAUUUCGUUUAUCUUGGUGGAAAUUGGUGAAUCGUCAUUCACCUACCUUCAAAUAUUUUAUAGCUUGGAUUACGGCAUACCUCUUCUAAGUUAUAAAAUAGUUUGUUGGGUCCUAGCCUUAAUAUUUCAUAUUGGGUGUCAUAUUAAGGACUUUAAAUCAACUAUCUUGAAUAUCUCCCAAAAGAUGUCUGUAAUAGACACCUAUGAUCUUCCCAAAUCUAGUGAAACAAGGUUUCCUAAAUGAAGAUGAUGUCCUUUGGAAAUCAUACUUCUUUCACCUCCUCCAAUUAUUCUCCCUAACCCACAAGUUCUUGAAAAGUUUAAGGUCACUCAAGCCCUAUUGGCAAGGCAAGGUCUAGGUGUGAUCACAUCUUGGAGAUGUAGUCACAUAUUGACAAGCCGGGAGAGUUGGGUGUCAAAGUCUUGAGAAAGUUGGUGGUUCAAUCACUUUCUAAGUCACAUAGUGAGUUCCUUUGGGACACCUAUGAAACAGACUAUGACAAGACCCUUAAUGAUCUUAUCUAUUUGCUAAGAUCAACUUCCUAAAACUUUAUGGACAUUGACAAUGAUGACAUUGGAUAUCCAGUAAAGCAUUCUCUUCCCAAUGGAAAGGGAUCGGCCAUAGUCAACUCGGUUGACCAAAUGGUAAAGAGAAAAGCUAAGUCUGUGAUAGUCCCGUGUACCAUUAUCAAAGGGUCCAUAUGUUUAUAUUGCCAAAGGAAGGGGCAUUGGUUGCGAAGCUGCCAAAUUUACCUAAGGAUGUUAAAGUCAAUAAGUUUGACUCUACUUCAGGUAAAGUCCACUAUCUAACUCUGUUAAGUUUCUAUUCUGAGAUUCCUGAUACAUGAUGUGACUGGGUCACAUGGUGAUGUUUUAAGAAUCAAAGAAAAGUGAAGAAACUUAAAGAAAGAAUAUGCUGAAUCUGAUGGCGUAGAUGGAUUUCUAUCGCAUAGUUUGAAGAUCGGAUUCUUGAGCAACUUCUUAGGAGUUAUGAGAUAUUGCUUAGGAAUAGAUAACAACAAGUUUUCAUAUGGAUUGUAAGGAUAAGUUUUUCCGCAAAGUUUUAAAAUAAAAGAAAAUUUUUGAUUUUAUUUAUUUUAAAAUAUCCUUACAAUGGCAUUUGAGGAAAAAUUGUUGCUUAUAUGAUUCCAUUAAUAGCAAGAGUGGAAAUAUGAAAUUGAUUCUUUCAUUUGUGGUAAUGUCUAGAUUUACCAAAUAAGGAAAGAUUCUCAUCACCCAAGUUUCAAUUGGACCGGAACUUGGAAUCAUGCAAGUUGUAUAGCAUGAUGAAUGAGAACUUUCAAGUUUUGGAAAAUUAAGACUAAUUACUCGGCCACAUGGAUGUGUGAGUCAAGUAAAGGACUAAGGGAUCGAGUACACAUUCUUGUGCACUGAUUAAGUCCACCACAAAAGAUUGAUAAGACUAUUCGUCAUAGUUUACUAAAGCUCAGUAAAUAUGAUUAUACUUACAAGCUUAAGUGUAACUCUGAGACAUUGGAAAAGGUUCCAAUGUAUGGCAGAGCGAAUAAGAAGAAUCAAAUUAGGCAGAAGGAUAAAAGUUUCUCAAAUCUGAAAAGAUGGGAGAGUACUUUAGUAUCAGUUUUGUGAUCAUCUUAAUGAUUAAGAAACCAUAUCAAAAUUAGUUCUCUAAGGAAAUCUUAGUGCAUUCUUAUGACUAAGAAGAGGAACUUGAAUUGUUGAAAUGGUUAAAUCAAGAAGAUGAGUCAUACUUCGUUCCAAUACAAGUCUUAGAGUCAUACUCCAAGAUUGUAACUUGAGUGACAUGUCUUAAAGAAGGUUUAAAACACUUGUCAAAUGUAAGAGUAAAAGUUUUCUACUCUUGUACAUUUGAAAUUGGUAAGUUGUGAUGUUUUGGAUAAAACAAAGACCAACUUAGGCCAAUUGUGUGAAGUGUUUGUCUUGAUUAGAAUCCACACUAUCUCUUGGAUAUUUGACAAGGGAGUCUUAUAGGUCAAGAGGUCAGUGGGAGUCUUAAAAGUCUUGAAAGUCUCAAGAACUAAUCAAGAAUAAAACCUAAAGUUCUUCACUAGCACACAACUUGAGGUUCAUAACCUAUCGUGUUGACAUAUUCUGUGCCCAUUCCAGUUAAAGUUGGUUUUGCAUAUGAGUUCUUAGAGUUCUCAAUUUGUUGCACAACAACUUGGAAGCAAUGGUAGGCCCUUGAGCUGCCAGGUGGCAAGAAAUUAAGAUUGAGUUCAGUCCAUAUGAGUUUGGAUUUGUCAUUAUCCUUGUCUUGUGACUAUGGUUUUGACAAUUCACAUGGAUAAGAACACAUACACCAUUAAAUCUAAGUGUCAUAAGGUUUCUCUCCGAUUCAUGAAAAUGAUGGUGAGGAAACACUUUCACUAAGUAGAUUUUAGCUAGAUAGCAAUUGUGAUAUUUGCAUUCUCAAAGUCGUUAGUGGAGCGCGUGUGGUUAACCGGCACACUAAUUUGGACUUGUGAGAAGUGGCAAAAAGGUCUAAACAUUAUGAUUACGGCAUCCCUCUUCAUAAUUGUUUAGAUACACAAGUGUGCUAUCUAAGGGAAGGUGUAUGAUUUUGAUACAGCUUUAUCAAAACAAUCUAGCAUCAGAAAUCUGAACUUUGGUAAGAAAGUCAAUGAAGUAUUGAUUUCUAGAAGUCCAGCUGAUUUCUGAGUACAUGUCAAAGCUAGUGGGAGCAUAAGUGUUAUGCUAAUAAUCAUCAUGUUAGUGGGAGCAUGAUAAUUAUGAUAAGUAUUGCAAGUUAGCAAUGUUAAUUAUAGAAAACAAAAGUUUCAAUUGGGAAAAAGUUGUUUUGCUAUAAUUAAGGGAGAGGAAAUUAUACUUCAUCUCAAAUCUAUAAGCUUAGAUCGUGAGGUUUUAAUCAUUUAGUCAAGGAUAUAUAUGAAUUUCAUGUUGGAAUGGCUCAACAUAAGGAAAUUCUGUAUAUGGGUCCAUUAUUUGCGUUCUAAAAUUCGAUUAUGAUUACGGCAUCCCUUUUCAUAAUCUGAAUUAUGAGAACUUGGCAAAUUGAAAUGGAAAUAUUAUAGCAAAAGACUGGUUUAGUCUUUAUGUAAGACAUCAUGAAUCGUGUCCCAUAUGCUUCGGAUAUAGGAUCGAUUACAUGUGCUAUAUUCAUCCGUUCUAAAAUUUUCCAAAUGCCUGGGGCAUUAAGAAGGGAAAAGGUUUAGAACUGGAUAUGACUAAAAGGAUUAAACAAUUGUCGAGGACAAUCUAAGGUUUACCAAAGAUUGGUUGCUCAAGGACAGUUGGAAGUAUAGUGAUAAUUCUGGAAGGACCAUAUUGACAUAAUCUGUAAGGAGGCAACUCUUGUUCAGAAGUGAUAGUCAAAAUGGAAUCUGGAAAUGUUUCAAAGUUAGAAUUUUCAAUCUGUUUAAGAUUAGGAAACUUAAUGCAAGAAGGAUGUUUCCAAGGAGCUGAUCUCCUUUGGAAUACUCUGUAAUGAUUGUUGUCAAGUCUUUCUGACUUUGUGCAUAAUCAUUACAAGAGGAUCAAUGCAUAUAAGUUUAGAAUCUAACAGAUUUCAGUAAAUGGCAUGAAUUUGGAAUUCUUGCAUUUGCAGUAAGGAUUUGGGAGUGUGAAAAGAGAAUCAUUGAAGUUAUGUUCAAUUGAUCUAGUUCACAAAGUAAAGAUCAUAGACAAACAUAGUAUGCAUACUUGGUGUGUGGCAUGACUAGUGUUUAAGAAAACAUAGUGUACAUGCUUGGAGCAUGGGACAACUAUUGUUUUAAAUUCAAGAAUAAAGUUGAUAGCUGAAACAGUAUACAAUGAAUAAUGUGUAAUCAUAUGGUGAUAAAUAAAAGGUGUUUUAUUUAUGUUCAAAGGGUUGAUACCAUAUUGGAUUCAAUUAUUAUUGUGUUUCACUUUGCAUGUUUUGACUUCCCGAAUAAACUGGGUUAUUCUUCCGGAAUGACUAAGUUAUUCAAACCAUCCACAGUCGGUCAUAUGUUGGAAGUAGAUAUGAAUUAAGACUGUCAUGAUGGGUUGUAGAGGUCUAAGGUGUUGGACAAGGCUACAACAAUCAUGAGUGCUCAUAAGUUCUGAGUAUUGGAUUCAACCCGCGCUCAUUGGAAUCACUUCAUGGAUUUUAUCACGAGUGAUCAUGAGACGAUAAUAUCUUAUAUUCUUCAAACCUAGAGAUAUGAGUUGUUACUAUGAGUUGAUAGUACAUUGAUAGCACGAAAACGCAUUUGGUAACUCGGUGCUAUAAAACGUGCCUUUGUGUAUGAUUCAACAAGUAGUAGAACAAGCCAUAUGAGUCGAAGUUUAUCCGUUCCUUUUACCUUCGGGAUAAAAGCGAUAUCUGUGGGCCCCUCGAUGAUUUGAUGAUGACAAAUGGAAGUGCUCGGCCGGGCCAGGACUGAUUUGAUUUGUUCAAUUAGUCAGUCGUCAUAAAUCGGAAAUCGGGAAACAACAAAUGGACAGAGAGAAUGAUUAUAAUCCAUGUCUCAGUCCAUAUGAUAUCUAGAAUGGAGGAAUAUAUGAUCCCUUAUCUAAUGGACAAGUCACUGACAAAGGUCAGAGUUCAUCUACAAGGUCAGAGUUCGACAGAAGCUUUUGAGAGCUACGAUUGCCGGUUGGUUCCUGAAGUCAUACGCAAUAAUAGUUUUAGACUUAUCCAAGUGGGAGACUGUUGGAUUAAUGUCUAAGUCCAUAACUAUAUUUGGUAAGACUUGACCCGACCCGGCAUGGUCCAUUUGGGUUGCAUACCAUCAUGCACUUGAAUGAGAGAAAUAAGACACUUAUGGUUAUUAAUAUAUUAUAAGUUCUAGUAUAUUAAUAAUAAGAAUAAUAAGAUUAUUUAAUUAGUAUUGAUCAAGAAUUAAUCUAGGAUUAAUUAAGUGAUCAAAAGAAGACUAAUUAAAUAUAUGGGUUGAUUGUGUAAAUCAUCCAUACUUGUAUAGUGGGCUAAUGCUCCAUGGAUAAUCAAGUUGGGCUAAAACCCAUAGGAUGGUCCAUGGAUGCUCCAUGGUGUAUUUGUACCCAUGGAUCCAAGGAAAUGGAAAGCCAUGACAAUUAAGAGUUUACCCUAAUUGUGUAACUAUAUAAGCAUCUUAUUAUUGAGGAAAAAUCGGCCACUAGUAGUAUUCAAGAAAGGGCUAGCCGAUUUUGGUGAGUGUAGAAUUCUCUCAAGUCAUUCUAAGUGUUUUGAUGAUUGUGAUUCCAUUUGAGGUGUCACACUUGGGGCACUAAGCACUCAAGCUUCAUGAAGACUUUCUACAUCAAGAGGUAUGUAUUCUAUCUUGUUACAUUAUUGUUUUGUAUGCUAGAUUAGGAUAAUACCUUGGAAGUUCUUAUUUGCAUGUAUAAUAGAGAAAACAUAGAUCCAAGGUAUUUAGGGUUGCAUGUACACUUAGGAAGUGUUAGAAUGCUCAAAACCCAACAGUGGUAUCAGAGCCACGGGUUGUUUUCUGUUAUAUUGAUGCAAAUAUUUUAUUUUCAAAGUUGAAAAAAAAAAAAAAAAAAAACAUGAAGUUUGUCAAAUUUUAAGAUAAUUACUUGUUCUUGUGAAAAACUAAUUAUUUGUAAAAUUUGAAUAAUUUGCUUUAUGAGUUGAAUUAGGUCAAAUUUAAUAAAAGAUAAAAUAAUAUGAUUAUUUUAUUAGUUUUAAAAGUUUGAUCUAAAGAGUUUUAUUUUUUGAAACCUCCAUAAGUUAUGGAUAUGAAAAGGUUUUAAAAAAAAAAUUGAUUCAAAGUUUUUUUGGAGUUACAAAAUUUGGUGUUAAUGUUUUAAAGGAUUCCAUAACUUAAGAAUAAGUUAUGGAUCACCAAAAGUUUUUUGUGUUACCUUGUUUUAUGAGUGAAUUUAGAUUAAUGAAUAAAAUUAUGUGAUAGUUGGUUUUAAUCCAAAUUAAUCUAAGAAUUGAUUCUAAAAUGUGUUUUUGUAACUUGUCCUCAAGUUAUAUGAAAAGUCACAUUUAAGAAUCAUAAAACUCAUAAAAAUUGGCAAAGGUUACAAAAAUGAAGAGUCUAGUUCUAAUUAAAUGGUUUUAUGACUCCAUAACUUGUCCUCAAGUUAUGGAGGACCAAGAGUCUCUUCAUUUAAUAAAAUAAAAUAAAAAAAAAAAAAGUGUAACCUUAAUUAAUUCCAUAAGUUAUAAAAUAAAGAAAAGUUAAUUCUUUUAUUAGUUUAAAGUCUUCCAUAACUUGUCCUCAAGUUAUGGAACUUGAAGAGUUUUUGGAUUAAAACUACUUUAAACACAUAAGUUAUGGAAUUAAUUAGUUUUGAAUAGUUUCAAAACUUGCCCUCAAGUUUUGGAAUUUGUAAAGUUUUCACUUAUGAAUACUUUAAUUCCAAGUUAGCCCUUAGAAUUUUAAAAGUUAAAAUUCAACCCUUAUACUUUAUAAUAUUAUAAGUUAAUAAUAUAUAUAUGUAUAAGAGUAAAGUCAGUCUUACCGCUAGUACGCCUCAUUCACGAAGCCGGUCUAUAAGGUGGGUAUAAGGUUGUUGCCUAUAAAAUGGCAACUUAAUGGGUGUCUACUCUCACCCACCGCUUGCUUGACCGGUGGAGGGUCGUUAGCCGAACGGGUUUGACAAGACUAGAAUUCUCCCUUCAUUAAAAGUAUUAAUGAUAAUACUAAGUAACUAAACUCUUAAUAAUACCCAAUCUUAGUUACUUAGGAAAAAUGUGAAUUAGGUGCUAACCCAUGAAAUUACACUUUACACUUUGUCUAAGUCGUUAGUGGAGCGUGUGUGGUUAACCGGCACACUAACUUGGACUUAACAAGGUAGGUAAAGGGUGACUUAAUAUUUAUCAUAGUAUCGAUGGAGCGUGUGUGGUUAACCGGCACAUCGAUUGAGGGGUAAUUUAUUAAGGGUACCAAGUGAUUUGCAUGGUUACUUCACACCUUGUUUUGUGAUCCUCGGCAUCCCAGUCACAAAAACUGAAGGGCACACUCGAGAUUG
rnacentral:lncRNA from 1 species